rnacentral:rRNA from 1 species
CCUACGGGAGGCAGCAGUGAGGAAUAUUGGUCAAUGGACGAGAGUCUGAACCAGCCAAGUAGCGUGAAGGAUGACUGCCCUAUGGGUUGUAAACUUCUUUUAUAUGGGAAUAAAAUGUUCCACGUGUGGGAUAUUGUAUGUACCAUAGGAAUAAGGAUCGGCUAACUCCGUGCCAGAAGCCGCGGUAAUACGGAGGAGCCGAGCGUUAUCCGGAUUUAUUGGGUUUAAAGGUGGCGUAGGUGGAUUGUUAAGUCAGUUGUGAAAGUUUGCGGCUCAACCGUAAAAUUGCAGUUGAAACUGGCAGUCUUGAGUACAGUAGAGGUGGGCGGAAUUCGUGGUGUAGCGGUGAAAUGCUUAGAUAUCACGAAGAACUCCGAUUGCGAAGGCAGCUCACUGGACUGCAACUGACACUGAGGCUCGAAAGUGUGGGUAUCAAACAGGAUUAGAUACCCGAGUAGUC